rnacentral:rRNA from 1 species
UACAGAGGGGGCAAGCGUUAUUCGGAAUUAUUGGGCGUAAAGCGCGCGUAGGCGGCUUUGCAAGUCGGGUGUGAAAUCCCCAGGCUUAACCUGGGAACUGCAUUCGAGACUGCAUUGCUAGAGUAUGGGAGAGGGAAGUGGAAUUUCCGGUGUAGCGGUGAAAUGCGUAGAUAUCGGAAGGAACAUCAGUGGCGAAAGCGACUUCCUGGACCAAUACUGACGCUCAUGUGCGAAAGCGUGGGGAGCAACA